rnacentral:rRNA from 1 species
CAGCAGCCGCGGUAAUUCCAGCUCUCAUACUGCAUUGAAUCGUUGUUGCGGUUAAAAAGCUCGUAGUUGGAUUGACACACGGUGUCUGUGGACUGCUCCUAGUGAGUGGUUCUGCAGCACGUGUUUAAUGUCGGUGUGUGGCUGACUUCGGUCAGUUACUGCUGAUGAGUUUACUUUGAAUAAAUCAGAGUGCUCAAAACAGGCGUAAGCUUGUAUGGUUUUGCAUGGAAUAAUGGAAUACGACACUGCGUGUGAUUGUUUUUCAUUGGUUUUGCUCACCAGUGUAAUGAUUAAAAGGGACAAACGGGGGCAUUCGUAUCGUCGGGCGAGAGGUGAAAUUCGUGGACCCCGGCGAGACGCACUACAGCGAAAGCAUUUGCCAAGAAUGUCUUCAUUAAUCAAGAACGAAAGUCAGAGGAUCGAAGGCGAUCAGAUACCGCCCUAGUUCUGACCGUAAACUAUACCAACUAGCGAGUCGCAUGCGGAUUUUUCUUAUUCGCCUCCGUGACGAGCUUCCGGAAACGAAAGUCUUUCGGUUCCGGGGGAAGUAUUUUCGCAAGUGACAAACUUAAAGGAGUUGACGGAAGGUCACCACCAGAAA